UUUAUGUCAUGAUAAUUGUGUGAUUGAUAAGAUAUUUUGGUUUUGGACUUUAUCUCAUGGAUUUAGAGUUCGAUUAUAUUUGGAAGUGGAAUAAUGCAUUCAUUUACAUAUGAUGUUUGAUGAAGUUCCCAUAAAAUUAAUUCAAUUAUAUAUGUUUAUGGUUCUAAGGAAGCGGGGCAAAAAUUUUAUCAGUGGGUUGAUUUCACUAGUUUAAGUUAGUAAAGCAAAGAAAUUGUCUUUAUGCACUUUAACUUUCCUCCAUUUAAGGUGAAAAAAUUAUUGAAGCUUUUAGAAGUGAAUUGUUCAUUUUGUUUGUGCACUUAUGCAGAUGGAUUUACUUUUGGCUGCUUAACCCUUCCUCACUUAUAUUUUUUCAGUUUAAAUUGCAGUGUUUUGCUGCUGUGCAACAGCACAAGAGGCUGUUUUAUUGUUGUUUCUGUAAAAACACAGCACCAGGAAGCGUCCAGGUAAUGUUUCGCUGCUGUUAUGCAGUAAAAACAACACCUGAAAGUUUCUAGGUGCUAUUUUUACUGCUGUUUACGCAGAAACACAGCACCUAAAAGUGUCUCUAGGUUCUGUUUAGCUGCUAUUAUGCAGCAAAAACAGCACCUGGAAACUUCCAAGUGCUGUUUUUAUUGCAUUUUAUGCAGAAACAAAGCACCUAGAAGCAUUCAAGGGUUGCUUUACUGUUGUUUUGUAUUUAAAAUUGCUGUUAGAAAUUUUGGGUGCUAUUUCUCUGAAAUUUUGCUAUUAACAGUGCAGCUUAAUAAUUUCAUAUGUCGUUUUGAACCUUCUUCAGUUCUUUUCUCUUAUGUCUAUACUUAAUCUUUUCCCCCCUGGUAAUAAGCAGGUACAAUUUUUGCAAGGUAAUAUCUAAGCAUGCUGUUAAUUCUUUGGUUGAGACGUAGUAUUCUAAACUUCAGGCCUUAAUUUUUUUAUUUCCAAGUGUAUAAUGGGUAGGUACUGGAUCUCUUAUGGAUGAUGUAGUUAAUGCUUUUUUAUUGUCUCUAUUUUGGCAAAUGUGUUGUCAUUUAUUAUCUGAACACAUGGUUGAUUAACUUACUUGAGGUAAGUCUAUUAAUUAAUAGUGAUAUGAUACUUUAAAGUCUUGUUUUACAACUUAAGUCACUAAAAUGAUUUAAUAUUUAUGAUUUAUAAUAUAUGAAUAUAUCUUAAUUUCUCUUUAUUCUUUGUAAGAAUGAUGUAGAUUGCUGAAGCUGGUGAGAUUCAUUUGCAAUUGAAGACUUGAUGAGAAAUUAGAUGUACUCACACAUGCCAAUCUUGUUGGUUGCUAGUGCAUUCACUAGUAGAAGUUUAAUGAUUGUUGGAGAUUUUUGUAGAGCUAUCUCUUUGUAUAUGAAACAUUUGCAUCAUUUUGNNN
rnacentral:lncRNA from 1 species